rnacentral:rRNA from 1 species
UUAGAGUUUGAUCCUGGCUCAGGACGAACGCUGGCGGCGUGCCUAACACAUGCAAGUCGAACGGAGAAUUUCGAAGAGCUUGCUUAGAGAAAUUUUUAGUGGCGGACGGGUGAGUAACGCGUGGGUAACCUACCCAUAAACCCGGGACAACCCUUGGAAACGAGGGCUAAUACCGGAUAGUCUUUAAUGUUGGCAUCAACGUUUAAGAAAAGGUGGCCUCUGAAAAUGCUACCGAUUAUGGAUGGACCCGCGUCUGAUUAGCUAGUUGGUGGGGUAAAGGCCUACCAAGGCGACGAUCAGUAGCCGGCCUGAGAGGGUGAACGGCCACACUGGGACUGAGACACGGCCCAGACUCCUACGGGAGGCAGCAGUGGGGAAUCUUCCGCAAUGGACGAAAGUCUGACGGAGCAACGCCGCGUGUAUGAUGAAGGUCUUCGGAUUGUAAAGUACUGUCUUUGGGGAAGAAUGACUGAUUUGAGAAUAUUGAGUCAGUAUGACGGUACCCAAGGAGGAAGCCCCGGCUAACUACGUGCCAGCAGCCGCGGUAA